UGGGGGAUUAGCUCAGUUGGGAGAGCGCCUGCCUUGCAAGCAGGAGGUCGCGAGUUCGAAUCUCGCAUUCUCCAG
rnacentral:tRNA from 1 species